rnacentral:siRNA from 1 species
UUGCUGUUGCCGAAGCUUA